GGACACAGUGAGGCCAGCCUGUGAGUCCGGGGCGCGCAUCCUGAGGCAGACCCCCCAACCCUGUCUCAGGUGUCCGUGGCCGACCUCUGCUUAGUGCCUCAGGUGGCAAAUGCUGAAAGGUUCAAGGUGGAUCUCACUCCCUACCCUACCAUCAGCCGCAUCAACAAGACGCUGCUGGCCUUGGAGGCUUUCCAAGUGUCUCACCCCUGCCGGCAGCCAGACACACCGCCUGAGCUGCGGGCCUAGCUCCCCAGCUGUGCCCCAUGGGUGAGGGGGCAGGGAGAGGGUGCAGGAGCAGAAGCUGGGGGGAGGGGGUGCUGAACAGGCCUGGCAACAAGCAAGCCCUACUGGAGAAGCAGGAGACCUGAACUUCUUGAACUUGGACUCAAGCCCUGGAUCCGCCCUCCCACUGAAAAUCCUUGUGCCUCAGUCCCCUCAUCUGUCCAGUGCGGGUAGUGUGGGGGAGAGGAUGCUGGGAGGGAGGGAGGCAGGAACAUCACCGGUCAUCUAUGUCGUGGGGCAGUCGUGAAGAUGAGGUGAGAAUGUAGCCUAAAACACUUGGUGGUUUCGGCAAGGAGACGUAAGGGAGCCUGCGCGCUCUUCCCAUGCCCACAGCUGUACCUGACUCCAGAGAAGGCCCACACUGAAAUUUGAUCAUUAAACUGAAGCCCAGGCCUCGAGGUUGUUCAGUUAAGGCUGAGCCGCGUUCCAGAAGAUGAACACUCUUCCUAGCUGGAAUCCCCCUGCAUCUGGGCCAGGAGAGAAAAACGUCUGAAAGCCUGCCAGAGAGAAGCAGACCAGAUCCAGAAGAGAAUAGAUAGAAACGGCAGGAAAGAAGGCAUUUUGUGACCAGCUGAGUUUCCAGGGCUAGAAGGGUACCAGGAAGUGGCCCACUGGAGCACGGAGGGGGAAGCUGGCCCUCUCAAGCCAGAACAGUCCUAGGAGUAGGCACUUGGAAUAAAUCCAGUCAUGAAGGGCCCUGGGAACUGGAGGCAGGCUCCUCCAUGGGCAGCAUGACCCGCCACUGCCCAGGCUGGUUCCGGACCCCACACAGCUAGCAGCUUGCCUUGAGAUCCCUUCUGGGGGUGGAACAAGAUGACUUUUAUGUCCUGUACCUGAGAUUUCAUUUCCCCUGCAUGGCUAAGGCUUCAACAGUGAGUUCAGGUAGAUGUGUCUGGUUCACAUGGAAGCCACCACUCUCAGCGGACAUGAGUCCCUUUUCUUCAGCCCCGACCCCAGGGCACCUAGUUCUCCCAUCCUUCCGGGCUCCUUUGUGGCCUUUCCUUCUUGAACUUGGGUUCCAGGCUUUAGAAUGACCAAAAUGGGCCACUCUUGUUCCUGAGACACACUGGUCCUGGCAGAGCCAGAAAAAAGCACAGGGCAUUCCGUGAGACACAGCAGUGUUGAGGGAGACUCGGUGGUUCCUCCUGCCCUGCCUCCAUCUUUCCGUCCGCUUACUCCAGGCUUGCCCGGCUGGGUAAAACUUGCCCCUGGGCUCUCUCCAGGAAACCUUGACUCAAGAGACUGAUCUCCUCAGCCCAGGGAUCAGGACUCGCACCUGAUUUGGACAUUUGGAGUUGAAGGUGAUUAAAGUCCCUGUAGAUUUUAAAGA